UAGCAUCAAUUGCCUAGGGAAUAAGUGCCUGCAGAUGUUACACCUUGGUCCCCAGUAUGCUUGAAACAAACUGGAGACUGAUCAGUUUCUUACAGUAUCAGAAGACAGCAGCCCAGCUACAGCUAACCACACAAAGAGAUUGAAGAACACUGAGCUGCCAAGGAGUAGUGACCCAGCAAGAAUCAAGGUAGACUUAUCUGGGCCUGUCUGCAAGCCUUUUGCUCUGUCUUCCAUAGGAGAGAAGGAAUCUCUUCUGCCAACACAUUGUCUGUUUAAAUGGCUACUGCACAGAACCAAUCCACUUUACAAGACUCUUUAAAAUUUUUCCUUGUCAACAGUCCGUCCAAUCCAAAGUUCAUAAUUAGAGAUUUCCAGUCUGUGUUGUUUAAUUCUAUGAACUCUACUGCAUUCUUCUCUGCUUCCCCUUCAUCUGCUUGGCAACUGGGCAUUGGAAAAUUUAGUCUUUAAAAUAUGGAGCCAAGAAAGAAUGCCUACACAGGCACUCACAUCUGAACAGCCCCCUCUCCUCAUCAAACAAUACAAUAGCUGUUGAAUCCGCAAAUCCCGCUGCCACGGCCACUUGCAGCUGCACUGCAACUGUCGUCAGUAAUUCCCUACAGAACAGACCAAGAAGUAUUAAUGCAGUUCCAAUGGUUUGCAGUGUUCUAUUUGCAGUGCUUAUAUAAUCAAAAUCAAGUGUUGUCUUGUAGUAAUAUCACUCCCAAAGUCUCUAUCUUCUGAUAAGAGGUUAACUUAGGUGGCAAGAUGGUAUCAAUAGGAUUCUUGAAGCAUGCCCAGGCACAAAUAACUAAAGGCAUAUUUCAAAAAAAUUUGGUUACCAAACAGGAAAAACCUAGUAGAAUUAGCAUAAAAUAGGUAAAAACUGGAAAAUCACCAUGUUAAUUUGAGCAGGUCAUUCAAGUACAUGUGGUUUUGGCCUCUUAAAUAUUCAAUCACAAGUACAUUCUAUAUGAUUUUAAGCUACUACAGAAGUAUGAAAAAGAAAAUUAUGAGAAUGUCAACCAGUGUGGAAACUAAUUUCCUUAAGUAACUUCUCUCAAUAUCCUUUUCCUUUAAGACAAUACGGUUACAAGUUGCAACUUAAUUUUUGUCUCCGGACUUACCAUGUGAACGUACUUGAGUCUGAUUGUAACUCGACCCAACCAAGCAAGGGCCAUCCAUAGUUGAUACUAUUGACGCUGGUUGAUGGAAUUGAGUCCCAGGCUAGUCCAGCUUGACUAAUAGUCAAAUAUGCUCUCAAAGCGAACUUUCCUGAGAUUGAGAACAAACCUUGAAUCAUAAAAAGUUCAGGAAAAUAAAUCCGGAGAAUAUUUAAUAUAGUCAACAACCAACUCUUCUUCCUUCAUAAGAGGUGGUGAAUUAGCUCAUAAUAUAGAAGAGUAAAUUUUGUGAAGAUGGGGAAUAAGCUCAAAAUCAUAAUUUCUAUACAAAAUCAGAAAGUUCAAUGAGAGAAUUGCACUCAACUACUAAAAGAUAAUAACAACAUCAAAAUAAAAAACAGAAAAAAAAAAAGAACCGUAAAAGUCUUAUAGACAAGACAAUUUAAUUACAAUAUUCGUCGUGGGAAUUUUGUGGUAUAGACCUUCAUUUAGACUUGGACUUUUUAAUUUUCUUUAUGAAUAAACAAUUGGCUCCUGCUCAAAUGAAAAAUGAGAACCAAUGCUCAGAGUCACAGACAGAGGUGUAGGCAUGGCAAUGCCAAUUUUGCAAAUGAUCAUUUGGUCAUAGUCAAAACCUCAGAAAAGCCAAAACAAGAACAAUAUAACAUCAAAAUUGGGACAAAAACAUGUGUAGCAACUACAUAACAAAGAUUUGUGUCAAUCUGCUCACCUUUUAAAGGUGGUCCACUGGGUUAGUGCAAAAUAGACUAACUUUUUCUUUAUAGGGGCCCUCAAUCAGUGUUGGCUGCUGAACUAGAAGAGAGUUCAGAUAACUAAAAAAUUCUAUAAAUUCAAUACCAUAAAAUACCUCACAUAAAAAUGUUGCUUUUGGAAUUGUAGUUUUCCAAAUGUUCCCAAAUUUAAAAAUACAUUGGCAUAAAGUUAUUGAUGUUUACCUCAUAUUUUUUUCCAUGGUCAUAUCAAACAUUGUUCACAUAGUAAGUCUUCUAUGCUGAUCCUUGUUACUUAAUAUGAGACACAGAAAAGAAAAAGUAGUGAUCAAUUUAUUUUGAUAUCAAAGGGAGCAAAGCCAUAACAUGUAUAUUACAUAUGUAGCCAACUAAGUACAUAUUAUGAUGUGGGUAAGAUUCAAUACAUAUUUCAAUAACCAUGAAUUACCUAAAAAUGUAUCCACGUGUUCUUAUAGGGGAUAAACACACAAGUAGCUAGGAGUCAUCUCUGCCCAUUUCGAAAGGUAAAUUGAUGGUGUCAUGAAAAUAUGAUAACUGGCUUCUUUAAAAUAUGAAUUACCAUGGAUCAAUCUUUCUUUACUCUUCUUUACUUCAUUAGAAAAUUCUUUUUUUUUUAAAAAAAAAGAUAGGGCAGAGCAUGCUGCAUAACCAAAUUCCCAAUAAGAAGGCUAGAAAAUGAGUUAUGGAGACAUGCAACUAUAGAGAUUGUUAGAAAUUUUGAAACAUGAGUACUUGGCCAGCUACUUUAUGAAUUGGAACAUAACUUUUUUAAAGAAAAUAAGUCUAAGCAUAAAACAAAUUACCUGACGGUAUAUUGAUCACUAUUUUUGGAGUUGAGAGAGGGCAAUUUCAUAUAUACAAGAUCAUGGGAUUAUGUUCCCUCUAGAACUCAAUUUUGCUUGUCAAUAGCCCGUGUACCACAUUCCUCUCUGCUCCCCUUUCAUCUGCUUGGCAAUCGGGCAAUUGAAAAAAUUUCAUCUUUAAAAUCUAUAUCCAAGAAAGAAUACCCAUAUAGGCAACAAUUUGGACAACCUCCCCUCUUCAUCAAGCAAUACAAUGGUUGUUAAAUCCACAAAUCCCACUACCAUGACUACUGGUGUCUAUGCUGCAAAUGUCAUCAGAAAUUGCCUGCACGAUAGACCAAGAAGAAGCAUUUGUUUUUAAAACCAGAAGCUUCUAUAUAUAAGUAAAGCAUCUUAUAUAAAGAGUAUAGAUUUACCUUAUCUAUUUAAAAAUCACAUUUUCAAAAAUUUUAAAAUUUGAGAGAAUAAGAAUCUAUUUGGUGAAGUUUUUAAAAAUAAUUUUAUGUUUUUAAAAAUUGAAAACAGUUUUAAAAAAUUAAUAACACUGUUUGGUUAUUCUUCUCAAUUUCCUUUUUAAAAACAAAAUAAAAUAAAGAACAACUUUUAAAGAACAAGUAAAAGUUAUUUUUAUCCAUUUUUAAAAAUAAUAGAAAAACAUAUGCACUCUAUUAUUUCUCUUCUACAUAGAAUUAUUAUUUUUCAAUUUUUUUGGUUAAGUAAAUUAACUCCAAAUUAAACAAAAUUUAAUGUGUUGUAUUUGUUAACAAGUCUAUUAAUUUUUAAAAAUAAUUUAAAACUUAAAUAAUAAACUCAUUAAUACCAUAAAUUUAUUAAUAUAAUAAAAUAUCUUUUUUUCUAACAAAUAAUAAAAUAGUAUAAUUUCUACUAAAAAUAUAAUUUAUGAUUUUAUUAUAAUAUUACUAUUUAUGUUUUACUAAAAACUAUAUAUAUAUUUUAAUUUAUUUGUAAUUACAAAAUUAUUUUCAUUUUCAAUAAGAAUUCAAUUAAAUUUAAUUAAUUAAUAUUAUAUAAAUUGAAUUAAAAAUAUUUUUACAAAAUUAUAAUAAUUUAAAAGAAAAAAACAAUUGAUCCGAACAAGUUUUUUUUUUUUAAAUCCUUCUAUAAUAAUAACUUACCAAAUAUCCUUAAUUUUAUAAAACAUUAAAAAAAACCUUUUUUGAUUCUUUAACAUUAAAAAAGUUUCUAAAAAAAAACAUAAGAAAUCAUGUUCAAACAACAAAUUUUAAAAAAUUAAUCAAAGUAUUUAAUUGACUUGUAUUAAAAAUGAAUAUUAAAAUUAUUUUUAUAUUAUAGAAAUUUUUGUUUCACUAUAAUAAAAAUAUUGUUUCAUAAUUAAAAACAAAAUUAUUUAUCUUUAAUUAAUAUAUAAUUGUAUAUUUAAUUUUUAUUUUUUAAUAAGACUUAACAUGAAUUUGAUUUCAUAUUAUUAUAAAUUAAUUUUAUAAAAUAAAAGUAAUACAUUGUUUUUAAAAAAUAAUACAAAUUCUUUCAUCUUAUUGUUUUUUGUUUUUUAAAAAAUAUUUUUUAAAAUAUCUUGCCAAACAUUCUGGUUUUUUUAAAAAAAAUUUUGCCCUAAAUUUUUUUUGAUACCUUGAUUGUUUUAAACAGUUUUUAAAAUUAUUAAUUUUUCAAUGUAAGCCUUUAAGAGUUAAAAUACAAAAGUUACUGUCACUUAAUUUUAGGCUUAACAAUGUAGGAGAUUUAAGUGGAGGCAAGGAAUUAAGCAGAUAUAUUCUUGAGAUUAGAAAUUUGGGUGGAACAUCAAUUUUGUAAAGAAAUUAAGUUUAAGCACACAACAAUUACCUGCCCAUGUGUUGGUGCACUGCCACUCCCAUUAAAAUAGCACCCAAUCGAUCACUAUUUUUGGAAUGUGAGAUAUAUAACGCCAUUCUUGCCCUUUCUCGAAUUGGAGCCGUUGUUCCAGCAAAGGACACGAUCCGACAUCCAGAGAACAGAGGGAGUCUGGCAGUCUCUCUUUUGUCAAGUAUUGGAGCUUAGGGCAACGGACGAUACUUAAGGUUUCAAGAGUGGUGAGGUGGUGAAGACCCGCUUCUGUCAAGGAUUGGAGCCUUCUGCACGACCAGAUUUCUAAUUUCUUGAGAGAGAUAAGGCGUUGAAGAACAGAUCCUGUCGAGAAUUGGAGCUCAGGGCAGUUCUCGAUCCAUAAUUCUCGAAGAGAGGUGAGUUGUUGAAGCCCCUUGUUGUCAAGAGACUUGAGAUUUGGAAGACCCCAGAUUGAAAGAUGAGUUAGAGAAGAGGGCAGCAGACACUCCUUGGGAAAUAAUUCCACGCCUUCACAUCCACCUCCGAUUGUGAAAUGAGUAAGAGAGGUCAGUCUUUGCAAAUCCCAGUCCACCUGUGACGUGAGUUGGUUGCAGCGCCAUAUUGCAAGUUCCCGUAGGUUGGAAGGCAAACCCUCCCUGUGCAACAACAAUUCUGGACAAUCCGCUAAACACAGUUUCUGCAGAGAUGAAUGGGUGUGCGCCAGCAAUUUGAGAUUGGAGCAAUUCCAAAUAUCAUGGUACAUCGAGUCAAGAGCAGGCAGUUGGAUGUAUACAAGAUUAAGGCACCGAUGGAUCUUCAAAUUACGAAGAGAUGUGGGAUCCCCCUCUGAAAUCGAGAUGCAGAGCUCCUCAAGCCCCUUAAGACCAUUUAUUUCGAAAUCAGUCAACCUGGGGAAGAUGUCCAAUACUGAGAAGGACAACAAGAGAGAAUCACAGGUACCGCCAUUGAUUGAUAGAUUUUCGAGAACCGGGUGAUGGCAUCUGAACAACUUAGGUAGAAGAAGGUCCAAUUUGGUACAAUCAGAGAUUGAUAACGAUUUCAAUGUAGUGGGUAAGCCAACUUUGUUUGGGGAUCUGUAAAAAGAGCAAUCACAAAUUUCCAAACUGUACAUGUUGGUUUGCAGGAUUUCCUCCUCUAGUAGAGACUCCACAUAAUCACAUUUUCUAAUGUAGAGAUAGUGGGGUACCAGUGGAAGUUGCUUCAACUGAGAGACGUCUGAAAUUUCAAUUUUUGAAGUUUGACUAGCUGUGAACCCACAAGUUUGCCUUUUCAACUGCAAUUCACGGGCAGCAAGAACGUUGAGUGUAGGCACAAGCAGCUGUGGGCAAUUUCGAAGGUUAAGUUCCUUCAAUAAAGGAAGGUGCAUUGGUAAUUCCCCAGUGAGUUUUGGACAGUUACUUAUAGAAAGCUCCUGGAAACGAGGGAAUUCUCCAUGUUUGCCUCCACAACAUAACCAUUUCUCCCAAUUGGACAUAGAGGAAAAUGAUAGAGUUUGCAGGGAUGGGAAGGAGGGAUGAAGCGAGGAAGAAGAAUUCCCAUAAAACUCACUACCCACCCUCACUACUCCAUUCAUUCCAAAGAUCUUUAUAUGUUCAAGACAAGGUAGCUGCCCCAGUGGCGGCAAUGUUGAGCAAUUCCUACAAUUCGAAAGCUGAAGGGAUACGAGAUUUGAAAAUGAUCCGUCUCCAAGCCAAUCUGGAAAUGUUAGACCAGGAUACCCUCCAAUGGACAACUUUUUUAAAUUUGGAUGAGGUGUUAGCCUGUUGAGAAUAUCAUCUUGUAUAGCAUCAUGACUAAUCCCCCGACUCCAAUUCAAGGAUAACUCAUCAAGGUAUUUCUUAUCCUUCAUUUUCGCCUGCAAUGCAUCCUCAACACCCACCACAUUCUCCAUUUUUGAAAUUUCAAGUCUUCCUCGAAUCUCUGAAAGCUUCCACAAUUCUCCAAAUCUGAAUCCACUUUCUUUGCCCACAGUAAAAUUAGAUAAUUUCUGCAAACUUUUUAAUUGACCUAUAUCAUUUGGCAUUUCUUCCAAUGAAUUAGACCCACUAAUAUCAAGAUAGCGCAAAUUAAUCAACUUCCCCAUUUUUGAAGGCAAUUCAAGAAGAGAAUCACAAUUACUCAGCAUCAUCGUUUGCAAAUUGCACAAACAACAUAUUGAUUCAGGUAAUCUUUUAAUCCAUGUUGUAGAGAGAUCCAAGUAACGCAACUGUUUUAAAUUGUGUAUUGAAUCAGGCACAUCUCUUAUGCAGUAUGCACGCAAUGACAACACCCGCAAAGAUUUAAAUUUUGGUAAUAUAUUGUGUAAAACUCUUGUACUCAACAAAUAAGGAGGCCAUGAUGUCUUCACCUCUAAGAUUGUUCUGAGAUGUUUGGCUUCACCAACAGGCUCAAAAGUUUCAAACACAGCUCCCCGGUCAUCGUCACUUUCAAAGUGGAAAAAAUGGCGAGCCUUAUCAGAUAUUUUUGGCAGCUUACAAUCUUCCAAUCGAAUGCAAAAUUCUUGGGAGAUAUGUUGAGCCAAGUCAUGUAUCAGAUCAUGCAUUACAAAGCAUGAUUUUUCUCCUCUAAUACAUUUUUGAAAAAACGACUUUGCUAAAAGUUCAUUUAAAUAUGAAUCACCUACCUCUUCCAUUCUUCUGUUACUUUGUCCUGAGUGUAAAAACCCUUCUGCCAUCCAUAAUAGAAUCAGCUUCUCUUUGUGGAAUUCAUAGUCCUUGGGAAAAUUUGAACAGUAAGCAAAACAACGCUUCACAGGAGGAGAGAGAUGCUGAUAACUCAAUCUAAGAGACGGAAGAAUUUCAUGAUCAGUUUGGGAAUGCCACGUUUCGCUAUUCAAAAUAUCUUCCCAUUCUCCUUUUUCGGCCUUGUAGUACAAGAGGCUCCCGAGUGCUUUAACAGCCAAAGGCAAUCCUUGGCACUUGUCCACAAUCUUUCUUCCUAUGGGCUCAAGCUGUGGAUAAGCGCUGGAGUCUCCAUUUGGAAAUGCAAGUUUUGUAAAUAUGGACCAACUAUCUUCAGGGCUUAAUGUCCCCAAAUGAUGAGUAGGGACUGCUCGCAUGAUUUUUGCAGCAGUUUCACUGCGACUAGUCACAACAAUCUUGCUUCCCUCUGCUGCAGUGAGGAGUGGAUUUCGUAGGCCUACCCAAUCAUCAGACUUCAUAUCCCAGACGUCGUCCAGAACAAGAAGAAAUUUCUUGUUACCUACUCUCUCUUUGAGUUUAAGCUGAAGCAAAUUUAGGGUGUCAUCAGGUUUAGUUUCAGAACCGAUUUCCUUGAGAAUUGAUUUUGUCACCUCCUCGAUGAGAAAAAUCUGAGUGGAAACACAGACCCAUGCUUUCAAGUGGAAGUGUUGCUUGACCGUGUCAUGGUUAUAGAGAAGCUGAGCGAGUGUGGUCUUGCCGUUGCCGCCGAUGCCCACUAUGGACAUCACAUCUAUGUUGUUGCCUGUUGCAUUUUCCUUAUCAGAAAGCAACCACUUCACCAUCUCCUCUUUGAUUCCAUCCCUGCCCACCACAGAGGACUCAUCCACCAAAGAAGUGGUUGGUGGCCUUGGUGACAGUUUAUCGCCCUCACCUUCUUUCAGCCCAAGCUUCUCUUUUUCUUCAGCAAUAUCUUCAAGCUUAGCAAUCAUCUCCUUCACCCUGGACUCCAUGCUUUGAUUGGCAAAUGGAGCCUUAACCCUGGUAGAGAACUUGUUCCACACCUGAUAAAUUCCACCAGGUUGGGAGUCAGCAGCUUCAAUCUCGCACCGCAAGGCUUCGGUAGCGAUCUCGUCCAACAGGUCCUCCGCAUGAUACACAGCAUCCUUAACCUGGACCAGCCAGUCUUUGACUAGUGGGUCUGAAAAUUGCUUCAUCUCCGCAUCAUUGAGCGCUUUGUGGACAACCAGCAAUUUCCUCUUCAAUUUGUUGAGGAGUUCAUGGCUAAGCUUCUGUCCCCGGAUGAAGUUCAUCAACUCCGGAGAAGUCAACCUGUCGAAUAGAACUUGAAGUGAAGCGGAUAGGAGUGCGUCGGCCAUAUCUGUUGACUGUUGCUUUGCAAAUCAAAGGAACUCAGCGAUUCAGUUCAGGAAAAAACGAAGGUAAAGCAGAUGCAGAAUCACACCACCAAACUGUAGUGGACUGGUUUGAACACGAGAUCCAAAAAUAAUGGAAAAAUAAAGAAGGCCACAGAGAGGCACAUGGGGCUGCACCAAACACCAAGGGAUGCACAUGGUCUGUCACCCUCGAGCAUAAAACUCAUGUUAUGUUUAUUAAUGACUCUUAUCUUUUUCAAAUCCAUAUAUAAUUUUAUCUAUAACUUCAUGCAUGUUUUUUUCAAUUGUUAGUAUUGAUUUUUUAUUUUUUUGUUUUUAAUAUAUUGGUGAAUCAAUUGGUGGAGUUGGGGCAGAUCUUUUGACAUUGAUCUAGGUCUUCAAUUUUUUCUAGAUUUGCUCUUUAGAAUAUUGUAUUUUAUUUACCAUUGCAAAAUAAUUAUUCAAGCUCUUAACUUGAAAAUAUUAAAAUUAUUUUUAACAAUUAGCAUUUUUGUUAAAAAAAAUAACUCGGUAGUUUAUGAAUUAAAGUAUGAAAAUUGUCAUUUUCUAUGUUUUCAUAAUGAUGUAAUUGUGAAACUCCUAACCCCCCAAAAAAAAAAAAAAGGAGAAAAGAAAUUUCACCUUAAUUGGCUUUUGUCAAAGGCAUAUAUACCUUUUACUCGCAUUAGUUCUAUACCUACUUGGAUAUCCUUGGUUUUGUACAACCGAUAAUGAAUUUCAUUCAAUUUGAUCGAUUUUGUAGUUCUUUAGUCGAUUUUAAUCAUAAUAAAAGAUUGUCUAUAUUUGAAUGUUUAUGUAAAUUCAACUGAAUUAAGAAUUUUUAUAUGACAAAAAUAAAUCUUAAUUAAAUAACCUUAUUAUUGCCUUCUCUAGCUAUAGCAGUCAUAAAACUUCUCAUAAUUACAUCAUCACCACCUUCACUUUCCAAUCUUGAAGCCACCUUGCAAGAUUCCUUAACAACAUCAUUAUUCAAUUCAAAAAAAUUUCACAUAAAUUAAAUAUAUAAAAAAAAAAAAUCAUUUUUCUCAAUUUUUAUUUUUUUUCUUUUCUGAGCAUUUGUCAAGCAAAUAAAAAAUAGGCUAAAUAACUUGAAAAUAAAUUGAAUAAUAAACCAAAGGAUGGAUUGGUAAGAUUAUUUAGUAUUGUUUAAUCAUAAUAAACAAAAGAGCAUUGCAAAGAUUAUUAUAAGAUGCCUACUUAAAUCAAUAAUAUCCUCCUCACUUCCUUCCAUAUACACGAGAUUCAAAAAAUAAAAAAAUAGAAUAAGCCAUGCGCAUGAGAUUCAUUUAGUUUUAUCGAGAGAGUUGUGCCUCUCAUGUACACACACACGCCAGAUUAAAUUGAAAGAUGAAAUAAGUCAUAGAAGGCUCAUGGGGCUGCUUAAAGCCUCACAGAGAGAGAGAGAGAGAGAGAGAGAGAGAGAGAGAGAGAGAGAGAGAGAGAGAGAGAGAGAGAGAGAGAGAGAGAGAGAGAGAGAGAGAGAGAGAGAGAGAGAGAGAGAGAGAGAGAGAGAGAUGGUUUUUUUUCUUUUCUUUACUUUUGUGAAAAAACAAUCAUUUAUGCUAUGUUUGGUUGGUUCAUAGAAAGUUUGAAGGAAGAUCGUAAGACAAAAAAAAAAAAAAAAAAACAUUGCAAAGAAAAAAAAUGAUUUAAAAUUAAUAAAUUCAUUUUACAUAUAUAUUAAUUCUUUGAUAUAAGAUUAAAUAAUUUAAAAAUAUAUAAUUUUCUUAAUCAUUUUAAUUACAUUUGACUUUUUUUCAUAUAUUUUUUUCCAUAUUUUAUAUGAUAUAAUAAAAAAUGAUAAAAUCAUUUUUCUUAACAUUUUCUUCUUUUCUUGAUAAUUUUCAGGAACUAAAUAUAAAUUUAUAUUAAAAGUAAUCCUUUAUAUUAAAGUCAUACUUGGUUCUCAUAAAGUGUUCCAAAAAAAAAUGUUAAAAAAAAAUUAAUUUUCUCCUGUUUGAUUUUACUAUUAAGAAUAUGAAAGAAAGUCAAAUAUAAUUAAAAUUAGUAAAAAAAUUUAUAUAUUUUCAAGUUAUUUAAUUUUUAUAUAAAAGAGUUAAAUAAGUAAAAUGAGUUUAAAAUAUGAUAUAAAAACAAUUUAUUGACUUUUCACAUCUAAUUAUCUUAUCCUUCAUUUGUAAUACUAGAAGUAUCAAAGAAAUGAAAAAAAGGAAACCUACAUGAGAAUUUAAAAUCAUAUGUUUGAAUGAGAGUGAAAUCUCAAAUACUAAAUUACAUAUAUUUUUAUUAAUGAAGAAAAAUGAGAAAUAAUAUUUUUUUUAAAAAGGAUCUAAAUUUUUUCCCUUUACUUUUUUUACAUGUCACAAACAUGGUUCUCUUAGUUUCUAAUCUUUCCUAAUUCAUCAAAGAAUAAAUCCCCAUAGUCAAUGACACAAGUACUGCAGACAUGGCAAUGAGAAUUCUGCUAAUGAGAAGCUAGCACCAAAAGAUUUAGGUCUUCUCUUAUGACCCAUAACCAUGACAUUCAUCUCAAUGAUCAUCUCUAUGAAGACAAAAAUUCCUCGUCACAAUACCUAAGAAAUGCCAAAACAGGAACAAAACUUCCUACCAAACUUCAAGCCCAUCUGCCUACCUUUAAAAGGUGGUCCACUGGGUCAAUGCAAAAUAGACCAGCUUUUAUUACAGAGACUCCCAAUCAAUGAAUGCAGGCUGCUAAACCAAAAUAUAAAACAAUAAGAUGUUUUUAGGUUAUUGAGAACAUGAACCAAAACAAAGAAAACUUUUUUGUUUUAGUGAAAAAUAAGACAUUGAAAGGAUAUGCAGUCAUAAAACUUGCAAUUUUGUAUAUUGCAGAGUUAAAUCUCCACUUUUAAUACACUGGAAAGGGAAUAGCAGCAAGAAAAGACCAAAGCAAUUAAAAUUUCUUACUGCCAAAGCACAAUACAUCCCUACUUUACUCCAUGCUUGUAUAAGAGAACAUAGACCCAGAAAGUGACAAAAACCUAAGCAUCCAUGGUUUUCCAUAGUUAUCAAGUGGUUCACUUGGUUUAGGCAUACUGCCAAAUAAAAACAGAGCAUGACCUUGCCAGUACCAUUAGAAUAUGGCAACUAUCUGCAUCCAAAAUGUGAGCACUUAGGUUCAAUCCUCCUCGACUCCUCUUCAAUAUUUGUUUCAAACUUGAAGCUUCACGAAAAAAGAAAAUCCCUAACACACCUGCCAUCGUUAAAAAAAUUAGCAUCAACAAGCAGACAUAAGAUUCCUUGCACCUAACAUUGACAUGGACUCAAAUUAUCCAAAACUAACCUAAAUUCAUGGAGAUGAAUGCCAAUCAAGCAAAGCACGUGCCUGUGUGAUGUUUGGUCAGUCAUCUGGAGAAGCUUGGAGCACGCCCAUGAUUAGAUCUGUCACAUGAGCUGUAUUUUGGUAAUUCUGGAAUGCGGUAUUUUCUAUUUAAGAUAAUAGAUGGUGAGAAACAUAUAGUCAGAUGAAUAAUAAAACACAUACUCUAGUAUUCUACUGAUUGAUUCACCCAUUCACUAAUCAUUAAAAAGUCUAGAAAUAUAGAAGCUUAAAUUUUCGAAUUUAUGGACAUAGUAAAUAAGCUCAUAAUCAUCAUUUCUAUACAAAAUCAGGAAGUUCAAUGAGGAAGUUGCACUCAACCGCCUUAAGAUAAUAAGGACAUCAGAAUAGAAAACAAAGCUACAAAAAGUCUUAAAGCCAAGAUCAAUUUAAUUAUAGUAUUCUUCUUGGGAGUUGCAUGGUAUAAACCUUCGUUAAGACAUGGACUCUAAUUUUCUUUUCAAAGAAACAGCUAACAUCCUGAUCGGAUAAACAAUGAGAGCCAAUGCCCAGGGCCACUAACAGGAAUGUAGGCAUGGAAACAACAAUUCUGCUAAUGAGAAGCAGCACAAGAAGACCGUCACCUUCAGGAUCCAUGUCAUUGAUCCAAAUGAUCAACUCAGCAACAGUUAAAAAAAAAAAAAGUAUACAAAAAUUCAUAGUCACAGUCGAGAUCUAAGAAAUGCCCAUAAAAGAACAUAACCACAUCAAAAUUAGGACAAAACAAGUACAACUACCUAAUAAUAAAAAAAUUGACCAAAAUACUUCAUGUAAACAAAUAAAAAAAGUUGACCAAUUCAGUAUCAUAAAAUACUUCAUAUAAAAUUUUUGCUUUUAAAAUCGUAGUUUGCUAAAUGAUCCUAGUUGGUUGAUAUGGAACACAUGGAGAAGAAAAGAAAAAACAAAAAGUAUUGAGUAAUUUAGUUUGAUAAAAAUUAAAAAGAAAAUGGAAAUUUAUUCGGAGAAGUAGCAUCAAUUACCCAUGGAAUAAGUGCCUGCAGAUGUCUCCCAAAGAAUCUUAAUUCAUUCGUAAAGCUACAAUAUUGACUACAAACUAACCAAAAAGAUCAAAAACUUUAAAUUCAUGCAAAUUAAUUUAUAAUAAAACAAAAAGAAGAGAAAUUCAUUCUCAUAUACAAAUUCUAAAAGGAAGAGUGACAAGAAAAGAUUAACUAAUAAAAACUCCAAAGGGGUGUGGUGGUAUAGAAACUUCGACCUUCCUCAUUGUUGGCCUAAUUACAGCCUCAAAGAUGAUUAAAGAGCCAUUGCUCAUGUGAUUAAAAUAUGAUAACUAGCUUUGUUAAAAUGUGAAUUACCAAGAAUCAAUCUUCCUUUACUCAUCUAGAGAUGCGUAAAUUCUAGAGAUUGUCAGAAAUUCUGAAAAGUACUUGACAGCUACUUUAUGAAUUGGAACAUAAAGUUUCUGAAUAAAAUAAGCAUAGAAUUAAUUACCUGACUGUAUAUUGGUGCGGUACCACUUUCAUUAAAAUAUCACACCAUUGAUCACUAUUUUUGGAGGUGAGAGCAAGCAAUUGCAUAUAUAUGAGAUCAGGGUACCCUCUGAUUUGCAAGUAACGUCAAUAGCCUGUCCGAUAUGAAGUUCAUAAUUAUAUGAACUCUAUUGCAUUCUCUGCUUCCCCUUCAUCAGCUUGGCAACUAGGCAUUUGAAAAAAUUUGGUCUUUAAAAUCUGGAUCCAAGAAAGAAUAACCAUACAGGCACACACACCUGGACAGCCUCCCCUCUUCAUCAAACAAUUCAAUAGCUGUUAAAUCCAUGGCCGCUGGUGCCUAUGCUGCACAUGUCAUCAGGAAUUGCCUGCACAACAGACCAAGAAGAAGCAUUUGAGUGCUUAUAUGAUCUAGCAGCUCCAUCAGAAUCAAGUGUUGCCCUGUAGUAAUAGUCACUCCUUAAGUCUCUUAUGCUUAAGUCUCUCCCCAUGUGCAGGUAGGUAUCUGGGUCUGAUUGUUACUCAACCCAACCAAGCAUGGGCAUCCAUACUUGAUACUUUUCAGGUUGGUCAAAUUGAAAUGAGUUACAUAUAAUGCUCAUCUCCCGUAUCGUUUUUGAAGCUAGUUCGGCUAGACUAAUAGACAAAUAAGCCCUCAAAAUAAACUUGCCCAGGUUGAGAACAGACCUUAUAUUGAGAUAGUCCACAACCAACUCUGCUCUUAAUAUAUAAGAAAUAAUGAAAAAUAAAUAGUCAAACAAAUAAUAAAAUGCAUAACCUAAUAUCCUAUUGAUUGAUUCACCCAGUUUUUAACCAUUAGAAAGUCUGGAAAUAUAGAAGAGUGACUUUUCGAAUUCAUGAGGAUGGUGAAUAAGCUUAGAAUCAUCAUUUCUACACAAAGUCAGUUGGUUCGAUGAGGGAAUUACACUCUUAACUACUUUAAGAUAAUACAACAACAUCAAAAAUAGAAAAUUGAACUACAAAAGGUCUUAAAUUAAGAUCAAUUUAGACAUAAUAUACUUCUUGGGAGUUUCACGGUAUAAACCUUUGUAAAGAAUUAGACUCUCCUUCUUUAAGACUAUGGACCCAAGACUCAUACUCACUGAUAGAAGUGCAGGCAUGCCAAUGAGAAUUCUGCUAAUGAGAACCUAGCAUAAGAAUAUUAAUGUCUUCUCCUGUGAUCCAGAACUAUAGUCCGAAAUGGGAUCCAUGACAUUGAUGUCAAUGAUCAUCUCCAUGACAACAGAAAAUAUACAGAAAUUCCUAGUCAUAGUCAAGACCUAAGAAAAGCCAAAACAAGAACAACGAAACAUUAAAAUUGGGACAAAAACAAGUGCAUAAGCUUCCUAAUGAACAUUUAAGUCUAUUAGCUUACCUUUAAAAAGUGGACCACUUAGUUAGCACGCAAUAGACCAGCUUUUGUUACGACUCCCAAUCAAUGCAGGUUGCUAUUAUCAUAACCGAACUUUGUUCCUCAUAAGCAGUCUUUUAUGCUGAUACUGGUAACUUAAUAUGGAACAUGUACAAAAAAGAAAAGAAAUAACAAAAAGUAGUAAUUAAUUUCGUUUGAUAUUGAAUGGAGUAAAGUCACAACAUGUGCAUAUGCAAGUAUAUUAUCCUAAAAACCACUUGCAAAAGGCACCAAGUACCCAACUAAUAUCAGACUUGAAUAACCAUGAAUUACCUAAAACUGUAUCCACAUGUUCCUGCAUGAGAUAGAUACACAGAUAGUUUCAACUUUGCUCAUUUGGAAAGAUCAAUUAAAGCUACAAUGCAAAUUACCUGGGAUGAAUUUUCCUUUGUUGGAGAACUUCUCAAAUCAAACAAAUAGAGUUUGUUGCUUGCUCAAAUCUUCAACAACUGGACCAGCCAAAGACUUGUGUAGAUGUACAAUUCCUAAAGAGUGUUGAGCAUAUUAGGAGCCUUUGAAUUCUGAAAGGAGGUCAAGACCUUAACAAUGUAGAAGGUUUAAGUAAUUCUGUUAUCAAACAUGGUAAAAUUGAUUAAACAAAACCUUGAACAGUGAGGUAUUUUCUUCUAAAAAAGAUGAGUCCACCAUUGUGUGGACUAUUGAGAAUAUAAAAAAUACGACAUCAGAAUUAUAAGUAACUAAAAUUACCUACCAAUAAGCAGCUAGCUAGAAUAAAUCCAUGGUUUUCUCCAUGCCUGUAUUAGAGAAAUGACAAAGAAAGUGAGGAAAAAAAAUCAAAGCAUUCAUGUUUUUCGACAGUAAUUAAGUGGUUCACUUGGGUUAUGCAUACUGCCAAAGCAUGAAAAUAUGAGUACCAUUAAAAUAUGAUCUGAACUGUCUGUGUCAAAAUGUCAGCACCUAGGUUGAAUCCUCAUCUACGGCUUUUCAAUAACAUUUGUCCUAGGGUUGAAGCUUCAAGAAGAAGAAAUCUUAAAUCAAAUAAAUGGAGCUAAGGAAUUAUGCAGAUAUAUUCUUGAGAUUAGAAAUUUGGAUGGCUACAUCAGGAAUUGGAACAUAAAUUUUCUAACAAAAUAAGUUCAAGCACAAAGCAAUUACCUGCCGAUAUGUUGGUGCAGUGCCAUUUUCAUUAAAAUAGCACAUCAUCGAUCACUAUUUUUGGAAUGUGAGAUAUAAAACGCCAUUCUUGCCCUUUCUCAAAUUGGCACUGUUGUUCCAGUGAAGGACACUUGAGGACAUACAGAUAAGAGAGGGAGUUUGGCCGUCUCUCUUUUGUCAAGUAUUGGAGCUUAGGGCACUUGUAGAGAUCUAAGGUUUCAAGAGUGGUGAGGUGGUGAAGACCCGCUUAAUAAAAAUUAAUAAAAUAAAUGAAUUUAUUAUAUCUGGAAUAUGUAUAUAUGUCUUAUCUUAGGAUUAAUAUAUAUUAAAUAUCCAUUAAUAGAAAACCCAUUUUUUCUCUUUCCACAAUCUAAUCCUAAUACGAAAAAUCUUGAAAUAUUAUUGGUUUUCUAGCUUUCUUUUAAUUUCUCUAAAAUUUUUCAUUAAGUAAAUAAAUUUGGAAUCAAACUAUACCUCAUAGGUAAAAUUUAUUAAUUUUUAAAAUUAAUUUCAAACUCAAAAACCAAUUUAAUUAGUACUAAAAAGUCAAAAACACAAUAAUAUUAUAAAUUCAUAGGUCAAAAUUUAUUUAAAAUAACUUGGUUAGCUUCUUCUUCACAUAUAACCUAUUUUUAUAAAUUUUUUUCAUGAAGCAAAUAAACUUCAAAUUAAUCGAGACUUGAUGUGUUGAAUUCAUUAAUGAGUUUAAUAAUUUUUAAAAAUAAUUUAAAACUUAAAUAAUUAUGUAAUUAAUACCAUCAAUUUAUAAAUAAAAAUUGGUUUCAAAUGACUCUAUUUUUUUUUAUUUUCUAUGUAAAAUUAUUAUUUUCUUAUUUUUUUGUUUCUAUUAUGCAAAUGGACUCCAAAUUAAACAAGACUUAAUGUCAUAUUUUUAUCAAUGAGUCUAGUAAUUUUUAAAAAUAACUUAAAACUUAAAUAGUGAACCAAUUACUAUUAAAAAUUUAUGGACAAAAAUUGAUUUAGAAUAAUUUUAUUUAUUCUUUUUCUUUACAUAAUCAUUAUUGUCCGAUUUUUUAAACAAAUAAACUUUAAAUUAAACAAGACUUAAUACAUCGGAUUCAUUAAUAAGUUUAAAAAAUUUUAAAAAUAAUUUAAAAUUCAUAUAAUAAACUCAUUAAUAUAAGAAAUUUAUGAAUUAAAAAUGAUUCAUAAUGACUAUUAUUUGUAUUUUUGGUUUUAUUUUAAAAAUAAUUUUUUAAAAAUAAGCGUUAGAAGACAUGUUCAAACGGACCCUUAGCUUUUAAAAAACAAUGCAAUUAUGCAUUUUACAAUCUUUUCUAAAGGUAAUUACAAAUUGUUUUAGUUGUUUUUCCACCUUUCAACCCAAAAAAUUGUUGAAAAUAUAAAUAAAAAAAAAUAUUGUGAUAUUCAACUAUUUCACUUGAAGUUACCCAAAUAUGAAAAUAAGGAUUGAAGGGUGCAAUCAUGCAACCCAAUGGCAUUGAUUUAACAUAGGUUUUGUCCAAUUUACAACCAUAUAUAUUAGUGCAAUCACUAAUAAAAACUCAUUUUAAUGAUCAAGAUAAGUCAUUCUUCUAAUUAUGAGGUAGUAUGCUACAAUUUUAGAUUGAUUGUUCAAGUUUAUGAAUUGGUUGUAAACAAUCCAUCAACUUACAAUAAACUUAUGACUUGGAUCUUUCGUAUAACUUUUUAUACACUAAAAUCUUAUACAAUGCAAGUGAUGUAAACCCGAGUGUUCAAAUAAAUAUUAAUGUAAAUAAUGGCAGAAUAAUGGAAAUAGAAAUCAUAAUAUUAUAUAUAUAUUUAUGAAAUUUCACUUAGUUAAAUCAUGUUAUAUUUUUAAAGGCUUUGAUUUUUUUAAUUGGAUCUUGGGCUUUUAGGAUUUGAUCUUGGGUUUUAGUUGUUUCAUUCGAUGUUAGGCAUUUAUAAUUUUAUUUGGGAACAAUUCAUUUGAUCGAGGCUUCAAUUUUUUGAUGUGGGCUAUAGGCUGUGAUUAUUUCGGGCUUUGGGUUUUUGUGAUUUGGGCUAGUUUUGAUCAUUUAAUUUGUUGUUUUGGGCUUUGGUUUGGAUUGAUAUUUGAUUAGGCUUUGGGUAUUGGAUUUGUUGUUUCUUAAUUUGGAAAUAAUAUUUGACAUUGGCUUUUGGGCUUCGCUUUUAAUAUGUAGUUUUGACCUUGGUUAAUUCCUAUUUGAGCCCCUGGUCGGAUUAUUUCAUUUUGGCCUAUUGAUUUGUUGACUUGGACUUUGUGUUUGUGCUUGUUUGUGAUUUAGGCUUGGUCUAUUGUUCUGGGGUUUUAGUUUGAUUGUGGGCAUUUGUGUAUUACUUUGGGCUUGGCCUUUAUAAUUGUUUUGAAUUUAUUUAUGGUAUGGGCUUGGUUGUUUGAUUUUGACCUUCUAUAUACUCUAUUUGACCUGGGCUUAGGGCUUUCAUUUAGUUUAUUUGAGCUUGGUUAAUUUGAUUUGGAUUUGGGCCUGUUAUAACUUGUAAACUAUUUAGGCUUGCUUUUCUUUUAUUGAACAGAAUCAACAAAAGUAAGGUGUAUAUUUUUUUAAACAAGCAGAAUACGCGCAUUCAAAGUUUUGAAAAAUAGUUUUGAAAAAUUAAUUUUAAUCUUUUUUAUGUAUAUAAAUAUUUUCCAAAAAUAACUUUAUGAUAUAUAUUUCUUCAAGCAAUCAUAAACGAAAAAAAAAAAAAACAAAUGAAAAUAACCGAAAACAACUCAUAUAUUUUUUCAAAAAACACCUAAACCGGCUUGCUUUUUUUUUUUUUUUUUUAUCAAACAGUUUUCCUAUUUUCUUGUUCUUAAAUAUAGAUAAACAAAAGUGGUUCAUUGUGACCCUAUCAUUUGUCUUUUGUUUUUUAAUUUUAAAAUAGGUUUUAAAAACAAGUAGAAAAAUAUGAUGAAACGAACCCUUAUCUUUUAAAAAAUAAGGCAAUUCAAAAUACAUUUUAAAAGGCAAAUUAUAAAUUUCUUUAGUUGUUUUCUCAUCUUUGAAUCGAGAAAAUUUGUUUGUACGAUCUUUCCAUCUAAUUAGUCCCUUGAAAUAUUUGUCCCCUUUUUCAGUAUUAUCAAUAUAUUUAUGACUAUUUGAAUGAAAAUAUAAGAAAAUAUCAUAAAUAUUCUCAUGAAACUCCUUGAUAGCAAUUAUUUCACUUAUCAGUGAAAAUAAAGUUACCCAAAUAUAAAAAAGGAUCGAAGGAUGCAACCCAAUGGCAUUCAUCGAGAUGGCAAAGUUUGAUACAAUUUGCAAAUACUUCUAUAUAUACUCAUCUUAUCUUAUAUUUCAUUGAAUAUAAGAUAAGAUAAAUUAAUGGAUAUUUAUCAUAUAGUAUCCCUACCAAAAAUGUCCCCUCCUUUAUUUGAACUCAUGGUAGGUGAAAGAAUGUAUUUUCGUGCAAAUGAUAACAAGGCAAUGAUUCGAGAUCAUGAAUAGAAAGAAAUUCCAAAAGCGCUACACAGUAACCUUCCUCAUGGUUGGCCUUAGAGCUGAAUCCUCCUGAAUGCACCAAAUGGACACCAUCACUAGCCUCUCCAACCUCUUCAUAUCAUUCAUAAUUUGCAUCCUCAUCAUCUUCCACCAACUUCUCCAACUUCCUUUGCACAAACAGUUCAUAAUCUCGAUCCAUUAGAGCUUCCUCUCCGUCUUCCAUAUGAAAGAGGAAAUCUUCUUCUAACACAUUGUCUCUAUAAAUGGCUACUUUGCAUAAGCAAUCCUCUUUACAUGACUCUUUAUACUUCUCCUGCUCAACCAAUUUGUGUUGUUUAAUUCUUUCAACUCCACUUCAUCCUUCGCUUUCUUCACUUUCUUCGCUUCAUCUUCAUCUGCUUGGCAACUCCACUUCACUCUCACUCUCAAGAACAAAGUUACCGAGCAUGGCAGCAUGAGUAACCCCUUUAACAGCCGACUAAGUUCUCCAAAGCUCAUAUCCUCAUUUGUCAGCGAGUUUGAACUCCCCAUUUUUGGUGAGUUCAAUUUUUGUACCCUUCUGCCACUUCUUUAUCUGCAUACCAAAUUAUUGUUUGGUAAUUCAUGUUCGCUAAUUGCAUAUAGAACAUAAUUAGCCCUUUUAAAAAUAAUAAUUAAUAUGAUCAAUCAUCUUCUAAGAUGGCAUGUUACAUAAAAGGUAACAAGAUUAUGCUACUUUUUAAAAUUUUUCCUUAGGGUGUCAAUGUCAUAAUGUGGGUACAAACUGACAGUAUAGGAACAAGUACAUUGAUAAAAAUUAAAAGAGAAAAAUUCGAAAUUUAUUCAGAGAAGUAGCAUCAAUUGCCUAGGGAAUAAGUGCCUGCAGAUGUUACUCCUUAGUCCCCAGUAUGCUUGAAACAAACUGGAGACUGAUCAGUUUCUUACAGUAUCAGAAGACGGCAGCCUAGCUAUAGCUAACCACACAAAGAGAUUGAAGAACACUGAGCUGCCAAGUAGUAGUGACCCAACAAGAAUCAAGGUAGACUUAUCUGGGCCUGUCUGCAAGCCUUUUGCUCUGUUUUCCACAGGAAAGAAGGAAUCUCUUC
rnacentral:lncRNA from 1 species